GGGUAAACCUGAGAAACCCGAAAGGUCGAACGGGGAGAUUCAACCGCGUCUCGGGCGUUCGUCGAGUGGGCAGCGUGCGACGGACGGUCUUCGGGCCGUUCCGCGCCGUCGUUCGCCGACGACCUCGAACGCGUGCACUUCUCCCCUUGUAGGACGUCGCGACCCGUUGGGUGUCGGUCUAAGGCACGCGGUGGAGCCCACGUGGACGACUCGUCGUUCCGCGCGGACCCGUGUUCGCCCGACCGACUGGCCCGACGGUACAAAGGUGGCGCUGGGCCGCGACUAGUUCGUGUCCGGCCCGUCGCAAGCUCGGACGAAGCGCGGCGCGCGGACCUAGUACCGCAUCUGCGCCCGCCCGGCUGUUGGCGGCGGUGUUCUCGGACGGUCCAGAGGUGCGCCGGUCGGCGACGCUAUAGCUUUGGGUACUUUCAGGACCCGUCUUGAAACACGGACCAAGGAGUCUAGCAUGUGCGCGAGUCAUUGGGACUUGCGAAACCUAAAGGCGAAAUGAAAGUGAAGGCGUGCNUCGCGCGCGUCGAGGGAGGAUGGUCCGGGCCUCGGCCCGGUCUCGCACUCCCGGGGCGUUUCGUUCUCAUCGCGAGAUGAGGCGCACCCAGAGCGUACACGCUGGGACCCGAAAGAUG
rnacentral:rRNA from 1 species